rnacentral:rRNA from 1 species
AUUGAACGCUGGCGGCAGGCCUAACACAUGCUAGUCGAGCGAGCGGCGGAUGGGUGAGUAAUGUCUGGGAAACUGCCUGAUGGAGGGGGAUCACUACUGGAAACGGUAGCUAAUACCGCAUACCAUCAGAUGUGCCCAGAUGGGAUUAGCUGGUAGGUGGGGUAACGGCUCACCUAGGCGACGAUCCCUAGCUGGUCUGAGCGGAUGACCAGCCACACUGGAACUGAGACACGUGCCAGACUCCUACGAGAGGAAGCAGUGGGGAAUAUUGCACAAUGGGCGCAAGCGUAAUGCAGCCAUGCCGCGUGUGUGAAGAAGGCCUUCGGGUUAUAAAGCACUUUCAGCGGGGAGGCGUUACCCGCAGAAGAAGCACCGGCUAACUCCGUGCCAGCAGCCGCGGUAAUUC